AGAGUUUGAUCAUGGCUCAGGAUGAACGCUAGCUACAGGCUUAACACAUGCAAGUCGAGGGGAAACGACAUCGAAAGCUUGCUUUUGAUGGGCGUCGACCGGCGCACGGGUGAGUAGCGCGUAUCCAACCUGCCCACCACUUGGGGAUAACCUUGCGAAAGUAAGACUAAUACCCAAUGACGUCUCUAGAAGACAUCUGAAGGAGAUUAAAGAUUUAUCGGUGAUGGAUGGGGAUGCGUCUGAUUAGCUUGUUGGCGGGGUAACGGCCCACCAAGGCGACGAUCGAGUAGGGGUUCUGAGAGGAAGGUCCCCCANAUUGGAACUGAGACACGGUCCAAACUCCUACGGGAGGCA
rnacentral:rRNA from 1 species